GACGAACGCUGGCGGCGUGCUUAACACAUGCAAGUCGAGCGGUAAGGCCCUUUCGGGGGUACACGGGCGGCGAACGGGUGAGUAACACGUGGGUGACCUGCCCUCAGCUCUGGGAUAAGCCUGGGAAACUGGGUCUAAUACUGGAUAUGACUCCACGGUGCAUGUCGUGGGGUGGAAAGCCUUGUGCGGCUGAGGAUGGGCCCGCGGCCUAUCAGCUUGUUGGUGGGGUGAUGGCCUACCAAGGCGACGACGGGUAGCCGGCCUGAGAGGGCGACCGGCCACACUGGGACUGAGACACGGCCCAGACUCCUACGGGAGGCAGCAGUGGGGAAUCUUGCGCAAUGGGCGAAAGCCUGACGCAGCGACGCCGCGUGAGGGAUGACGGCCUGGU
rnacentral:rRNA from 1 species